CAAAGCGUAAAUGUGAUGCAAGCGAUGGUGAUGCAUCAAAGAAAAGGAAAACAACCACGACUGAAACUAAAGUGGAAUUAAUAAAGCGUUCGGAAAAAGGUGCUGAGUACACAAGGCUGGACUAUGGAGUCACCGAGCCACCAGCCCUGGCUUUUCAGAUUGCCUCUUGUCUGGCACCUUACCUCCACCCUACUUGCCAAGAAUGACCAAGGAGAAACAUACUCAUUGUCUUGCUACAUAAGAUUUGAGGAGGCUGGCCGGUGGUGACAGACGAAUCCUAUGCUGACUGAAGAUGAUGACCAACUGCCAUGAUGGCCGAGACAUACCAUGCUGAGCUGGGGAUUCAAGAUACCAUAUAGCAACAAUAUCAUUAUUACUUGUUAACUGUCUUAGAAGUCUUAUUUAAUCUAGAAUGCCCAGGAGGAGUGAGCAACCACUGGCUCUUGGACCCCCAGAGGUUUUUAUCCCUCUUGAUUUUCACUUGGGAGUUUUUGUACCUUUCCUCCAUGGCCAGUAGGCAUACUUAUAGCUCUAUAAAAGCAUUGCAUUAUGAUAGUCUGUAGUCAACUGUCUUCUUUGUUUCUUUAUCUGAUUUAUUUGUUUUUCUUGCCUUAUGCCUGUGUUAAAGCGCUCUGUGUCAC
rnacentral:lncRNA from 1 species